rnacentral:rRNA from 1 species
CCUACGGGUGGCAGCAGUGAGGAAUAUUGGUCAAUGGGCGGGAGCCUGAACCAGCCAAGUCGCGUGAGGGACGACGGUCCUAUGGAUUGUAAACCUCUUGUGUCGGAGAACAAAGGCGCCCACGGGUGGGCGGAUGAGUGUACCCGAAGAAAAAGCAACGGCUAACACCGGGCCAGCAGCCGCGGAAAUACGGAGGAUGCGAGAGUUAGCCGGAUUUAUUGGGUUUAAAGGGUGCGUAGGCGGACGGUCAAGUCAGCGGUAAAAAUGCGGUGCUCAACGCCGUACAGCCGUUGAAACUGGCAGUCUUGAGUGGGCGAGAAGUAUGCAGAAUGCGUGGUGUAGCGGUGAAAUGCAUAGAUAGCACGCAGAACUCCGAUUGCGAAGGCAGCAUACCGGCGCCCUACUGACGCUGAGGCACGAAAGCGUGGGUAUCGAACAGGAUUAGAUACCCUUGUAGUC